rnacentral:rRNA from 1 species
AAUCAACGCUGGCGGCGUGCCUCAGACAUGCAAGUCGAACGCGAAAGUUUCCUUCGGGAAGCGAGUAGAGUGGCGUCCGGGUGAGUAACACGUAGGUAAUCUACCUUUGGGUGGGGAAUAACAACCGGAAACGGUUGCUAAUACCGCAUAAUGCAGCGGCACCACAUGGUGACAGUUGUUAAAGCGGGGGAUCGCAAGACCUCGCGCCUAAAGAGGAGCCUGCGGCGGAUUAGCUAGUGGUAAGGUAACGGCUUACCAAGGCAACGAUCCGUAGCCGGCCUGAGAGGGCGGUCGGCCACACUGACACUGAAAUACGGGUCAGACUCCUACGGGAGGCAGCAGUCGGGAAUUUUGGGCAAUGGGCGAAAGCCUGACCCAGCAACGCCGCGUGAAGGAUGAAAU